AAGUCGUAACAAGGUUUCCGUAGGUGAACCUGCGGAAGGAUCAUUAACGAGUUUACUGAGUUGUCGCUGCCCUCUCGGGGGAUGUGCACGCUCUUUUUCACUCAUCUAUACACCUGUGCACCUAUGCGAGUCAAUGGGGGAUUAGCGAAAGAGACCUGCAAAGGUUUCGACUAGCGUUCUCUGUCGGCUCGAUUUUUUAUAAACUCUUGUAUGUCUUAGAAUGUCUACUUCGCUUAACGCAAUAAAUACAACUUUCAACAACGGAUCUCUUGGCUCUC
rnacentral:misc_RNA from 1 species